rnacentral:rRNA from 1 species
GAUGAACGCUGGCGGCGUGCCUAAUACAUGCCAGUCGAGCGAACAGACGAGGAGCUUGCUCCUCUGACGUUAGCGGCGGACGGGUGAGUAACACGUGGAUAACCUACCUAUAGACUGGGUUAACUCCGGGAAACCGGAGCUAAUACCGGAUAAUAUAUUGAACCCCAUGGUUCAAUAGUGAAAGACGGUUUUGCGGUCACUUAUAGAUGGAUCCGCGCCGCAUUAGCUAGUUGGUAGGGUAACGGCUUACCAAGGCGACGAUGCGUAGCCGACCUGAGAGGGUGAUCGGCCACCCUGGAACUGAGACACGGUCCAGACUCCUACGGGAGGCAGCAGUAGGGAAUCUUCCGCAAUAGGCGAAAGCCUGACGGAGCAACGCCGCGUGAGUGAUGAAGGUGUUCGGAUCGUAAAACUCUGUUAUUGGGGAAGAACAAAUGUGUAAGUAACUAUGCACGUCUUGACGGUACCUAAUCAGAAAGCCACGGCUAACUACGUG